rnacentral:rRNA from 1 species
GAUGAACGCUGGCGGUAUGCUUAACACAUGCAAGUCGAACGGAAUCUUCGGAGUGAGUGGCGGACGGGUGAGAAACGCGUGAGAAUCCGGCAUUGGGUUCGGGACAACCACUGGAAAAGGUGGCUAAUACCGGAUGUGCCGCGAGGUAAAAGAGAAAUUGCCUGAAGGUGAGCUCGCGUCUGAUUAGGUAGUUGGUGAGGUAAAGGCUCAUCAAGGCAGCGAUCAGUAGGUGGUCUGAGAGGAUGAGCAGCCACACUGGGACUGAGACACGGACCAGACUCCUAGGGGCAGCAGCAGUGAGUAAUUUUCCGCAAUGGGCGAAAGGAUGACGGAGCACUACCGCGUGAGGGAAGGAGGCUCUGGGGUUGUACACCUUUUUCCUUAGGGAAGAACAAAAUGACGGUACCUAAGGAAUCAGCAUCGGCUAACUCCGUG